rnacentral:rRNA from 1 species
UACGGGGGGGGCAAGCGUUGUUCGGAAUUACUGGGCGUAAAGGGUCUGUAGGUGGCCAACUAAGUCAGACGUGAAAUCCCUCGGCUUAACCGGGGAACUGCGUCUGAUACUGGAUGGCUUGAGGUUGGGAGAGGGAUGCGGAAUUCCAGGUGUAGCGGUGAAAUGCGUAGAUAUCGGGAGGAACACCGGUGGCGAAGGCGGCUCUCUGGACCACUACUGACGCUGAGGCGCGAAAGCUAGGGGAGCAA